rnacentral:rRNA from 1 species
GACGAACGCUGGCGGCGCGCUUAACACAUGCAAGUCGAACGGAAAGGCCUGCUUUCCCUUGUGGAUUGCGGGUACUCGAGUGGCGAACGGGUGAGUAACACGUGAGUGAUCUGCCCCCAACUUGGGUAUAAGCCUGGGAAACUGGGUCUAAUUCCCGAUAGGACUGCAGGGUGGUGCCUGUGGUGGAAAACGAUUUUCUAGUGGUUGGGGAUGAGCUCGCGGCCUAUCAGCUUGUUGGUGGGGUAAUGGCCUACCAAGGCGGCGACGGGUAGCCGGCCUGAGAGGGUGGACGGCCACAUUGGGACUGGGAUACGGCCCAGACUCCUACGGGAGGCAGCAGUGGGGAAUAUUGCACAAUGGGCGGAAGCCUGAUGCAGCGACGCCGCGUGGGGGAUGACGGCCUUCGGGUUGUAAACUCCUUUCGACCGCGAGGAAGCCACCUGGUUGGCAGGGUGGUGACGGUAGUGGUAGAAGAAGCACCGGCUAACUACGUG